UAAAAUAUAGUCAGUCGUAGUAAAACUUUCAUUACAUAAUUAUGGGAAGGUAUUGAUGUCAAUAUCUCCAGAGAGGACAGAAUGACGGACAAACUGUAAGUGCGAGAAUAUUACUUCUAAAACGCUAAGUUUCCCAUUGUAACGUGGUAAAAAGUCCAUAUUAAAUCUUGCUGGUGCUCUAUUAGGUUGCUCCAAGAGGGACCCACUUCCAACCGAGAGGUUGUGAGUUUGAGUCUCCUCAAGAGCGAAGUGGGAAGUUCUUGGAGGGAAGGAUACCGGGGUCUAUUUGGAAACAGCCUCUCCACCCGAGGGUAGGGUAAGGUCUGCGUACACACUACCUUCCCCAAACCCCACUAAAUAGGAUUAUACUGGGUUGUUGUUGAACUGUGGAUAUCCCGUUUUUUGCGCAGCAGUGUUAUGAAAUUCCAGGAGAAGCAAGACAAUACAUAUAUGUCGUCAAGUCCAUGACCAAAGCAUACGUUAUUUCUUGUUUGUUUGUAAGAUUCAGAUAUUAUAGCUACAAGGAACCCACAAAUGAUUCUGGGUGGUUAGAACGACAAAAUAUGAGCAAUAUGCAAAUGGAACAUGAAAAUGCUCAUAAACUAGGUAUAAAUUACUCUUGUGGAGUUGAAAAAGAGGAAAUUCUUAAACUUGGAAAAGGAUAGGUAUGACAACCUAAAUGCUAAAUGUUUUCCUCAUCUGGUACUCCCAAAUGAGUGGUGCAGUCCUUAUGAAUUUAAUAUGAUUUAUGGUCUCUAUGUUCUAACCCAUUCUUGGUAUGAAAACUAGCUAGUUCCGGUGCUAGGACAGAGCCAAGGGGCAAAAAACUCUAUCAUCAUGGCAUCCAAUAGCUGCACUGAUUUAAAGGGAAAAGGGAUUGGACCGGCGAGAAAGAGAUGUUAUGGGCCGUUUUAAACCCUACAAGAAAUAGGGCGGUAGCUCUAUCCCUAACUCCACCGGUUCCCCUUCUCCAUCACCGCCGUCGCCGUCCCACUCUCAGAUAAGAUAAAAAACAAUGGGGAGAGAGAAUCAAUUUGGGGGAAAAUAAGAAACGGGGAGAGAGAAAU
rnacentral:lncRNA from 1 species